GCAUCUGCUAAACCACGGCCACAGAACCGUUUAUAUAGCCGGUAGCCUGUAGAGGGAAACACAUGGAUUACUGACAUGACUGCCGCCACCAGCUGAAAGAUGCUGUAGAUGAGGGGGAAAGAAAACAUGACUUCCAGUUCAGAUGAGCUGAAGGAUAACUGGAUGAUGGUGCUGCACAACUGGGAGUUCUGGAAACCCGUCUCCAGUGCAAUGGUUCGACAUCUGAAAAAAAAGCAAGGAACUGUCAAAAACUUUGUCCAUAGUGUCAAAUAUACAAAAGUGAAAAACACUAAAAUGACUUUCAUCUAUGUACUGUAUGAACAACACAGUUUGCUUGUGGCUCCCUCAUGUUCACUGAGCUCAACUGGAAGUAUUUACAGACUGAGCGAUAUGUGAAGGGGAAGGAGAACAGCGGAGACAUAGCAAUGACCGCAGCGGCCAUGAAGUGGGAGAAACUUCAUGCAAACCAGGCCAGUAGCAGAUAAUGUUGGAGCCGGAGCCUCCAGGACAGCAGCCCAUGAUGAU